rnacentral:rRNA from 1 species
ACGCAUUAAGCGCCCCGCCUGGGGAGUACGAUCGCAAGAUUAAAACUCAAAGGAAUUGACGGGGCCCCGCACAAGCAACGGAGCAUGCGGCUUAAUUCGACGCAACGCGAAGAACCUUACCAAGGCUUGACAUAUACAGGAAUAUGGCAGAGAUGUCAUAGCCGCAAGGUCUGUAUACAGGUGGUGCAUGGUUGUCGUCAGCUCGUGUCGUGAGAUGUUGGGUUAAGUCCCGCAACGAGCGCAACCCUCGUUCUGUGUUGCCAGCAUUUAGUUGGGGACUCACAGGAGACUGCCGGGGUUAACUCGGAGGAAGGUGGGGAUGACGUCAAAUCAUCAUGCCCCUUAUGUCUUGGGCUGCACGCAUGCUACAAUGGCUGGUACAAACGGCUGCAAUACCGCAAGGUGGAGCGAAUCCGAUAAAGCCAGUCUCAGUUCGGAUUGGGGUCUGCAACUCGACCCCAUGAAGUCGGAGUUGCUAGUAAUCGUAGAUCAGCAACGCUACGGUGAAUACGUUCCCGGGGCUUGUACACACCGCCCGUCACGUCACGAAAGUCGGUAACACCCGAAGGUCAGUGCCCAACCGUAAGGGG